rnacentral:rRNA from 1 species
AACGUAGGAGGCUAGCGUUAUUCGGAUUUAUUGGGCGUAAAGCGCGUGCAGGCGGUCUAGCAAGUUGGAUGUGAAAGCUCCCGGCUCAACUGGGAGAGGUCGUUCAAUACUGUUAGACUAGAGAAUGGGAGAGGGAGGUGGAAUUCCGGGUGUAGUGGUGAAAUGCGUAGAUAUCCGGAGGAACACCAGUGGCGAAAGCGGCCUCCUGGACCAUUUCUGACGCUAAGACGCGAAAGCUAGGGUAGCAAAC